rnacentral:rRNA from 1 species
UACGGAGGGUGCUAGCGUUGUUCGGAAUUACUGGGCGUAAAAGGCGCGUAGGCGGCCGUUUGCGUCGGAUGUGAAAGCCCGGGGCUCAACCUCGGAACGGCAUUCGAUACGGGACGGCUGGAGACCGGGAGAGGAGAGUGGAAUAGCCAGUGUAGAGGUGAAAUUCGUAGAUAUUGGCUGGAACACCGGUGGCGAAAGCGGCUCUCUGGCCCGGUUCUGACGCUGAGGCGCGAAAGCGUGGGGAGCGAACGGG